rnacentral:rRNA from 1 species
ACAAUGAAGAGUUUGAUCCUGGCUCAGGAUGAACGCUAGCUACAGGCUUAACACAUGCAAGUCGAGGGGCAGCAUGGUCUUAGCUUGCUAAGGCCGAUGGCGACCGGCGCACGGGUGAGUAACACGUAUCCAACCUGCCGUCUACUCUUGGACAGCCUUCUGAAAGGAAGAUUAAUACAAGAUGGCAUCAUGAGUCCACAUGUUCACAUGAUUAAAGGUAUUCCGGUAGACGAUGGGGAUGCGUUCCAUUAGAUAGUAGGCGGGGUAACGGCCCACCUAGUCUUCGAUGGAUAGGGGUUCUGAGAGGAAGGUCCCCCACAUUGGAACUGAGACACGGUCCAAACUCCUACGGGAGGCAGCAGUGAGGAAUAUUGGUCAAUGGGCGAGAGCCUGAACCAGCCAAGUAGCGUGAAGGAUGACUGCCCUAUGGGUUGUAAACUUCUUUUAUAAAGGAAUAAAGUCGGGUAUGCAUACCCGUUUGCAUGUACUUUAUGAAUAAGGAUCGGCUAACUCCGUGCCAGCAGCCGCGGUAAUACGGAGGAUCCGAGCGUUAUCCGGAUUUAUUGGGUUUAAAGGGAGCGUAGAUGGAUGUUUAAGUCAGUUGUGAAAGUUUGCGGCUCAACCGUAAAAUUGCAGUUGAUACUGGAUAUCUUGAGUGCAGUUGAGGCAGGCGGAAUUCGUGGUGUAGCGGUGAAAUGCUUAGAUAUCACGAAGAACUCCGAUUGCGAAGGCAGCCUGCUAAGCUGCAACUGACAUUGAGGCUCGAAAGUGUGGGUAUCAAACAGGAUUAGAUACCCUGGUAGUCCACACGGUAAACGAUGAAUACUCGCUGUUUGCGAUAUACGGCAAGCGGCCAAGCGAAAGCGUUAAGUAUUCCACCUGGGGAGUACGCCGGCAACGGUGAAACUCAAAGGAAUUGACGGGGGCCCGCACAAGCGGAGGAACAUGUGGUUUAAUUCGAUGAUACGCGAGGAACCUUACCCGGGCUUAAAUUGCAGAUGAAUUACGGUGAAAGCCGUAAGCCGCAAGGCAUCUGUGAAGGUGCUGCAUGGUUGUCGUCAGCUCGUGCCGUGAGGUGUCGGCUUAAGUGCCAUAACGAGCGCAACCCUUGUUGUCAGUUACUAACAGGUCAUGCUGAGGACUCUGACAAGACUGCCAUCGUAAGAUGUGAGGAAGGUGGGGAUGACGUCAAAUCAGCACGGCCCUUACGUCCGGGGCUACACACGUGUUACAAUGGGGGGUACAGAGGGCCGCUACCACGCGAGUGGAUGCCAAUCCCCAAAAACCUCUCUCAGUUCGGACUGGAGUCUGCAACCCGACUCCACGAAGCUGGAUUCGCUAGUAAUCGCGCAUCAGCCACGGCGCGGUGAAUACGUUCCCGGGCCUUGUACACACCGCCCGUCAAGCCAUGGGAGCCGGGGGUACCUGAAGUGCGUAACCGCGAGGAGCGCCCUAGGGUAAAACUGGUGACUGGGGCUAAGUCGUAACAAGGUAGCCGUACCGGAAGGUGCGGCUGGAACACCUCCUUU